UGGACCUCCUAGCUAGACUGUCAUUGGCAAAUGCCAGUUUAUUAUCUUCCCACAUUUAUGUUAAUGGAUUUCCCAUGUUUUAUUUGUCUAGACUAGGGUUUCUCCACAGCAGCACUAUUGAUGUUUUGGGCUGGAUAAUUCUCUGUUCUGGAGCUGUUUGCACCUCGCAGGAUGUUUAGCAGCAUCCCCAGCCUCCGCCUGCUACAUGCCAGUAGCACUCCUCAGUGUGACAGCCAAAAUGAUUUCAGAUAUUGUCAAAUAUCCCCAGGGCGGCAAAAUCACCUCCAGUUGAGAACUGCCGACCUAAAACCCUCUGGAACAAUGUUAGAUCAUGGUAAUGAUAGCACAUACUGCUCCUAACCUUAAUGGGAAUACCUCUAGCAUCAAAGUAUAGUAGUACCUGUAUACUACUGUCUGGGCUGUUAUUAGUACACUGUAUUAGUCCAUUCUCAUGCUGCUAUGAAGAAAUACCCAAGACUGGGUAAUUUAUAAAGAAAAGAGGUUUAAAUUGACUCACAGUUCUGCAUGGCCGGGGAGGCCUCAGGAAACUUACAAUUAUGGCAGAAGACACCUCUUCCCAGGGCAGCAGGAGAGAGAAGGAGAGCCGAGUAAAGGAGAAAACCUGCUAUAAAACCAUCAGAUCUCGUGAGAACUCACUCACUAUCACAAGAACAGCGCAGGAGAAACCACCCCCAUGAUUCAAUUAUCUCCACCUGGUCCCACCCUUGACAGGUGGGGAUUAUUGCAAUUCAAGGGAAGGAUUCUGGAAGACAUAGGAGGAGACGCCAGCAUUUCGCCCUCCAGCACCUCCCACGGGCUGUGGUCCGCUUCCGGCCUCACUCGAGCAGGCCCCGCCCUCCCAGAGGCCGUUCGUCCAAGUCACGUGAUCGUCGACUCUGUUGACCUGGCGCCACCGGAAAAAGAAAUUCCCGGGCCCUGGCUUCUUGGCCUGAUGGUGAGGCACCAGAGGGGAGAAGGCAGAGCUGGUGCUAUAUGAAGUUUGGCUGCAGAUCCUGGGCCAGCCCUACACCAAAGCCUUGGAGGACAAAACCAGCCUUGAGUUCUGGGCACUUCAGGGGCAACCGACAAGAUGGGUGAAGUGGCGGGAUGAAGUGGGGGGGCGGGGAAGAAGCCUCGGGAAGAUGGGGGAUGACUGGACAAGACUUUGGUAGAGCUGCGACCCUCUUCAUCCUCUCCUGACCCCCCAGCUGACCCUCGUCCUCAGAUCUCUGCAGAACUUUGACCAAGUGGUGGUGGAGGAAUUCCGGUGGGUCCAGGGUGGCCCUGGGUGACCCAGGGCUCAGACCUGGGUUCUGGGGUUGAGGGCAGGAGGCUGGAAGAGAUGACCUCCCUUAGGCCCCCCAGGCUGCCCAGCCCCCUGAAGUGGGAUGAUCCUCCCGCCAGGCUGGACCCACUGACCGUCAGAGUGGGUGCCACCUUCAGGGCGGCACCAGCCCAGGCUCUCGUGUGGGACUGUGUGUACCAGGGUCUGCACACCCUGGGGGAGGCAGAGGGCCUCUUGGUAGACACGGUCAUCUCAGACCUCGGUCAGUACCUCCUUCCCUCUGCAGGCCCCCUCCCUCUGUCCAUCUGCCGCCUCCCUUGGACUCGCUGCCUCCACAUGCCCUGAUCUGAAACCUGCCUCCCCUCCUCAUGGAGCCCUCCAAGAUGCUCCUAGCCCCAGCUCUCUGGUCCUGCAGCAACUUCUGUUGCCAGAUUCUGCCUUCUCAGAAGUCUGGGAGGCAGGGCCCCACCUGGCCAUAGCCUUCUUGGUCUGCUCUAGGCAGUCCUAGCCUCGAAGCCUCCAGCCUGCUGGAUGCCUCCAUCCCCGGCUAUGCUGUGGCUCUCCUCAUUCUAGGCCUCCUGCUCGUCACAUUCACCCUUGUCCUGGUGCUAAAGUGGAGGGCCUCCCAUGGGGUGUUCAGCCUGGGUGUGUAGAAGCACAUAGUGUGGUACAGAGGACCCUCUCCAGACAGGUGACCCCUCACGCUGCUGCUCCCUCUGCUGAAACCCAAACUGCAAACCUCUCCUCUCCCUGCCUUCACCUUGCCCCACGGCUUCCACAGACAGUGCCUCAACCCCGAGGAAUGAAUCCGAAGUUCCAACACCACUGACUUUCCCAGGAACUCAGAGCCAGAGAGGGCCAAGGACCAGCUCGAGGACACACAGCCAGGGCUUCUUCCCUCCGAAACCCCCAAGGACUGGACUUGCAGGGCUGGGACAGAGGUGGGGUGGUGGAAAGCAAUGCCUUGUCAACCCACGUUGGGGAGCCCCACUCCCAUCCCCAAGGUGCAUAAAGUUGAGGAACACC